CUAAUUCAGAGGAUAACAAGGCUUGUUGUUCCUGGAUACAGGGAUUGGGGCUGAGUCUGCACUGGCACAGCCUGAGCUGGACUGCCCAUCAUUCUUACCUUGGGCAAUGAAGGUUGAGUGAAUUGCCCAAUGUUACACAGCUAGCCUCAGCCAGCAUGAUCCCUGGGCUUAAAAGGACCAGGGUGGCCAGGGCAAUUCCUAUGGGAUUUCCCACACUAUAAUUCUUUUGGAUGGAGUCUGAGGAACAGAAGAUCAGAGGCCUUCAUUGACACAAGAAUGUGACUUUUCUAUUCAAAAGCCUUUGGAAAUGCCCCAUAGCCUUCCUCAGUUCAUCUUCCCCACCUGCUAGCUGACAGUUCCAAACCACUCACCGGUCUUCAGCUGUGGACAGUUUGGCAUCAGCAAACAAAAGAAGUGGAGACUGACUUUUCUGCCUCUACACCCCUCCCCCAAACAUACACACACUCCCAUGAGAAUGGAUCCAUCAGCUCUUCCCCAGAGCAGAGAUCAUCUCUGAGACUGUGACAGAAGGGCAUCUGACACCAGCAGGAGAGGUGGAGAGGCAGGUCCAGAAGACACCUGUUGAUAUGUCAAGUAGAUUCUGACAGGUCAGUGCAGCUGGAUUGUGGGCAGCCCUACAGCUGAACUGGAGAGUAAAAACAUGCCUUAGAGUAAAGUUGUCUUAGAAGAAGUGGGCUGGGUAGCUUGUAGGACAAAGGACAAAUGUCUGUGCAAGGCUGGUCAGGGAGGAAAGGGGACAGAGCAGUGACUUCUCAAACUUCUGUGAGAUAGGGUCACAAGGAUGUCUGUCCAUGUUGGCAUGGGACCUGGGGAGCCAUGAUAAUUCCUGACUGAGAGCUGAUUCUGACCCUCUGACACCUGUGAGUCCUGGAGAAGCUGUGGGCCCUGAUUUGGCUCAGCCUUCCAGAGGUGAGCAGCACAGAGAGUCACUCUUGAAGAUAAACAUCCCAAGACUAGGAGGUGGGACAAACCUUAGCCUUUCUCUGUGCCCCACACGUGGUCCUGAGCCCUAAGGUGUCCCAGGGCAUGGAGACAUCUCUGGGUUCAGGGUAUUGAAAGUUUUAGUUAAUGUGACCAGAUGAGGAGAGGGUUGUGUGAAUGUCUGUCUAAGAUGAUAGAAACAGGCAGUAAAAAACAAAAACAAAAAACAGCCUAAUGCACAUAAGAACAGAAGGAGACUAUUUCUCAGCAAAAGAGGGAAAUUCUGAUCACCUACUGAUCAGGCUGACCCAGCCAAGGACAGUGUUUCCAGCGCCUGUCAGAGUCUUCAGCACCAGUAGCUUCUGAAGCUCCGAUCACAGACUGGUGAGGGGGUUCUGCGGUAGGCCAGGAUGAAGUGGAGGCAGUCUCUGCUGGA